UAGAGAUAUGUCUGCUUCUUUCCCGCCAC
rnacentral:piRNA from 1 species